rnacentral:rRNA from 1 species
GACGAACGCUGGCGGCGUGCUUAACACAUGCAAGUCGAACGGAAAGGCCCUGCUUUUGUGGGGUGCUCGAGUGGCGAACGGGUGAGUAACACGUGAGUAACCUGCCCUUGACUUUGGGAUAACUUCAGGAAACUGGGGCUACUACCGGAUAGGAGCUCCUGUUGCAUGGUGGGGGUUGGAAAGUUUCGGCGGUUGGGGAUGGACUCGCGGCUUAUCAGCUUGUUGGUGGGGUAGUGGCUUACCAAGGCUUUGACGGGUAGCCGGCCUGAGAGGGUGACCGGCCACAUUGGGACUGAGAUACGGCCCAGACUCCUACGGGAGGCAGCAGUGGGGAAUAUUGCACAAUGGGCGGAAGCCUGAUGCAGCAACGCCGCGUGCGGGAUGACGGCCUUCGGGUUGUAAACCGCUUUCGCCUGUGACGAAGCGUGAGUGACGGUAAUGGGUAAAGAAGCACCGGCUAACUACGUG